CCUUUUUUUAUUUAGUUUACUGAAUUAAUUAUGAUCAUUAUUAUAUUUAUGUAUUGUCACUGGGAAAUGUAAAUUGAUAAGUUAAUGUAUUGCAACUUAAAGGAAAAACAACACAAUUUGAAGCAAAAAUAGAUGAACAUACACAUGACAAAGUGUAAAUGUUGGGUACAGUGAAUUAUUAUGGUUGUGUUUUAUGAUUAUUGUCCUCUUUAUUGUUAUUUAUAGAUAUUUCUGGUUACUACUGAACAGAUUUCUUUCCCUCAUAUUUUAAUUUUGAAGGUUAAACUCUUGCCCCAAGAGCAAAAGGGGUAAUCAUACUACCUGAUGUAUGGACUUUUACACCAGGCUUUUACCCUGCACGAGCUGGCCAACUUGAGGGGAACUGAAGUGGGCAAACCUCGCCCUGUCGUUGAACAAGAAAGCUGGAUUUGUUGAGAGAGUAUCAUUUAAGCUGAAAUCCAGCAUGAAACCAGAGAGGUGAUGGCCAUCGCACAGGCCAUGUGCCGAAUAUUCACUUUCCACCAGCUUGUGACUUGCUCCAUGAAGGGAGCAACAACUACAAAGGGGUCACCAAGACCAAGCCUCCCCGCUGCUGAGAGAAAUGCAAUCAUUGAUGUCAUAGCCAAAACCUUUGACAAGCCUUCGGUUGAUGUUGAAGAAAAGAUGAGAGGUUGUUUAAGGCAUCUGCGGCUGAUGCACAAGUAGACUGAAGUCUUUGUAAAUAAAAUGUGCUGUUAAAAUGAUUAUUUAACCAUUGUUUUCACUUUGUUAUAUAGAUUUGCACCUGUUUCAACAACAUUAACUUAUUUUUAUGCUCCCAGUAGGGUCUCAUAUAGCAGUUGAACUGUCCGUCUGUCUGUCUAUCCGUCCGAAAACUUUAGCAUUGGUCAUAACUUUUGCAAUAUUG